CUGCUUCAAGAGCAUACCCAUGUUGUUUCAUUAGUUUUGCAGCUUCUUCUUGUCGACCUUCUCUUUUCAGUAAGUCUGCAGUUUGGUGCAAGCAUCCACGAGACUUCAGAAACUCAAGCUGAUCCUCUAUGUCAAGUUUUGAGAGGACCUGCAUCAUUUCCUCAAUUCUGUUCACACUUAAGUACUUUGCAGCUGCUUCCAAAUACAACUGGUUUGCUGUACAUGAGAGUUUGGAUACCAUUUGUCCUCUUGCAUUUAACAUCUCUUCAUAUCUUUCAACUGC
rnacentral:lncRNA from 1 species